AAACAAAGGUGAGUCAGGGGGAGGAGCAGGGCGUGGGGGUGGUGGUAGUGCUUUAGUGGGGCAGUCCUCGGGGGCCAGCCACAGCAGCAGCCACAACCACGUCCGUGUGACUGAAAUGGGUGAGCCAGACUUUGUGGCUCCUCAUGGUAACAAAAGAUUAACACCAACACAGCAGCCCAGUAAUGAAACUAAUGAUGAUGACAAAACUACACUUGUAAGACCAAACAGUAAAUGGAAGAAGAGAACUUUCUCCUUUCUUAAUUGAGGGAACAAUGAGGAAAUCGUCUGGCCACACAGCUGAGGUCAAAACUAGUGUUGGGAAAAGUAAGGAGUUUUUAAGGCAAGGGGAUUGUUAGGGAGGAAAAUUGGGUGAAAUAUGAAAGAACUUGGGUGAGGUCAAAACUAGUGUUGGGAAAAGUAAGGAGUUUUUAAGGCAAGGGGAUUGUUAGGGAGGAAAAUUGGGUGAAAUAUGAAAGAACUUGGGUGAGGUCAAAACUAGUGUUGGGAAAAGUAAGGAGUUUUUAAGGCAAGGGGAUUGUUAGGGAGGAAAAUUGGGUGAAAUAUGAAAGAACUUGGGUGAGGUCAAAACUAGUGUUGGGAAAAGUAGGGAGUUUUUAAGGCAAGGGGAUGUUAGGGAGGAAAAUUGGGUGAAAUAUGAAAGAACUUGGGUGAGGUCAAAACUAGUGUUGGGAAAAGUAAGGAGUUUUUAAGGCAAGGGGAUUGUUAGGGAGGAAAAUUGGGUGAAAUAUGAAAGAACUUGGGUGAGGUCAAAACUAGUGUUGGGAAAAGUAAGGAGUUUUUAAGGCAAGGGGAUUGUUAGGGAGGAAAAUUGGGUGAAAUAUGAAAGAACUUGGGUGAGGUCAAAACUAGUGUUGGGAAAAGUAAGGAGUUUUUAAGGCAAGGGGAUUGUUAGGGAGGAAAAUAGGGUGAAAUAUGAAAGAACUUGGCUGAGGUCAAAACUAGUGUUGGGAAAAGUAAGGAGUUUUUAAGGCAAGGGGAUUGUUAGGGAGGAAAAUUGGGUGAAAUAUGAAAGAACUUGGGUGAGGUCAAAACUAGUGUUGAGUGAGAGGAAUGCAUUUAAGGGAUACACUAUAUAAACUGUCUGAUGCUGUAACCCUAGUAAAUAUAAAUGCUUAGAGAAUGAAGAUACUGAUGAGAAUAUUAUGCCAUGAAAGUGGAAUAAAAUGGAUAGGCUAUAUAUGAAAUUAAUUAUGUAGUAUGGUAUGGAUAACUCAAAUUCACAACCAUUCUCUCUCUCUCUCUCUCUCUCUCUCUCUCUCUCUCUCUCUAAAAGGGGUAAUCAUGGUAGCAGUAAGCUAGUCAUCAUCAAGUUAAGUGUUAAACCACAUCACGUCUGUACUGUUCUUUUCUGAGAGGCGAGACCGUCAGAAUUUAACAUGCAAUAGCCUAAUUUCCUCUCAUUUACAGUUUUAAUAUGGUGGGUUACUAAGCGGAUAAUAUACCACUGAGAGAGAGAGAGAGAGAGAGAGAGAGAGAGAGAGAGAGAGAGAGAGAGAGAGAGAGAACAAUGAUAUA